UUAUCAAAACCAACAGUUGUGACUAUACUGCUUAUAGCCCUGUGGCUAUGCAAUGAUAUUUAGUAAUUCUCUAAUUUCAUUACUAAGUGAUUUUCUCUGAAGUGGGUAUGGUUUUCCUUUCAGGAUUAAAAAAUACUACCCACAUCUAAGAUUAUUUUUCAUUUCGACAUGCUUCACCUGAAAGAGUCAAGAAAGCAUUUCUCUAAUGCAUUUUAGAUGUCUAGUAUCAGUCAUUUGCUCAACUACUAGUCACUCACACAGCCUGCAAUUAUGCACAAAACAACCUGCUAUGGUGAUAACAAGACAUUAUCUAUUGACUUUCUACUAUGAAAUAGGAGAAUCUGAAUCCUUCCUCCUCCAUCACUACCCAGUUUAUAUGAUUGUCUCUCUGUCACCAGAGACAAUUUGAAAUUUCACGGGCUGGACGAGCAUGUUGGCUCAUGCUUGUAAUCCCAGCACUUUGGGAGGCCGAG